AGUCGCAAAUUUUAUUUGCGUUAGACUUGUUGCAAGCAAGAUUAAUUUUAGCAGUGCGGACUUGUGCCGUCGCUAAAAUUGUCUGGCUGUUAGUUGACAAUGUUCUUUAACUGGCUUACAUACUGGUCAGCAAUGCUACUGCUUUGGGUACUUACAGGACCCGUCUUGAAACACGGACCAAGGAGUCUAACAUGUACGCGAGUCAUUGGGAUUAUUUUAUUAAAACAAACCUAAAGGCGUAAUGAAAGUAAAGAUUAUCCUUGUGAUAAUUGAGAGAAGAUGGGUUACGUUACGAUGUAAUCUCGCAUUCUCGGGACGUCUUAUUCUCAUU
rnacentral:rRNA from 1 species